GUCUUUUAGAUUUAAAUUAAAAGUCUAAUCUGCCCAAUGAUUAUUGAAUGGCCGCAGUAAACUGACUGUGCAAAGGUAGCAUAAUAAUUAGUCUUUUAAUUGAAGGCUUGAAUGAAUGAUUGGACGAGAAUUUAACUUUAUUUUAAUUAUUAUUUGAAUUUGAUUAUUAAGUAAAAAAGCUUAAAUAAUUAUGUGGGACGAGAAGACCCUAUAGAGCUUAAGAAAAAAAUUGAUUGAUUAGUUUUAGAAUUAUUUUAUUAAAUAAAUUAAUUUGUUUUUUAUGUUGGGGUGACAUUGAAAUAAUUUUAACUUUCAAUAAAUAUUCCAUUAAUUUAUGUUUUUAGAUCCUACAAUUAAGAUUAAAAGAAUAAGUUACCUUAGGGAUAACAGCAUAAUUAAAUUGAAGAGUUCAAAUCGAUAAUUUAGUUUGUGACCUCGAUGUUGGAUUAAGAAAAGGUUUUGGAGCAAAUUUCAUAAAGCUUGGUCUGUUCGACCAUUAAAUUCUU
rnacentral:rRNA from 1 species